rnacentral:antisense_RNA from 1 species
UUUUGCAUUGGGUUUACGGGCAAUAAUGCCGUUGCCCACAGCAUGCAACAGGUGCGUUUUACCUAAACCCGUACCACCGU